UAAUACUAGAAUGUUAUAGAAAUUAGCAUUUUUGUACGUAUGGAACAUUUCUGGGAUCUUUUUUAUUUCUUCUACUUCAUGUAACAAAACACUUUCCAUGUUGUUUUAUAUCGGUGUUACAUGCAUUAUUAUUAUAUAUAUUCAGUAUAUUAAUACAUUAAUGAGUCUAUACUCCCCCAGACUCCCAGCAGCAGAACAGGGAGCGAGUGAUCCAGUCGCUGGAGGGAGCUCAGCAGGGGGGUCAGGGGUCAGAGGGGCGUGGCCUAUCUCUGGGGCUGCACCAACUUCCCGUCCGCCCUGUCACUCAGAACGGCAAACACACCGCCGUCGCCACGGCUACCGGCGUCGCCAACGCUUACGCUCUGACCAGUCCUCUCCAGAUCCUGGCAGCCCAGGCCUCCAGCUCCCCCCCAGUCCUGGUGAGCAGACAGCCCAGCGCGGGGCUUGAUGUUGGGCCGGAGGUGCCAGGCGACCCCCAGGCUAAGAGGCCUAAGAUGGAGGAGGACGAUGCGGCUCCUCCCCCCAUUCAGCAGCCAGUCAUCGUGGCCAUGAGUUCUCAGCCACACGACAACAGAAAGUAGAACUGCUGAACUCUAACCCCCUGACCUGGUGUCUAGAGGAGGAGCCUCUCUGGGUGAACCAUCUCACCAGUCUGACCCCUGGGUCCCAGUGUCUGCUGGUUCACCCUCUGACCCCUGGGUCAGGGUCCCCCAGGUGUCACCUAGUAGAUAAAGCGUUGUGUCCCAUAUGGCACCCUACUCCCAGCGUAGUGUACUGCCUCAGACCAGAGCCCUACUCCCAACGUAGUGUACUGACCAGAGCCCUACUCCCAGCGUAGUGUACUGCCUCAGACCAGAGCCCUACUCCCAGCGUAGUGUACUGCCUCAGACCAGAGCCCUACUCCCAACGUAGUGUACUGACCAGAGCCCUACUCCCAACGUAGUGUACUGACCAGAGCCCUACUCCCAACGUAGUGUACUGACCAGAGCCCUACUCCCAGCGUAGUGUACUGACCAGAGCCCUACUCCCAACGUAGUGUACUGACCAGAGCCCUACUCCCAACGUAGUGUACUGCCUCAGACUAGAGCCCUACUCCCAACGUAGUGUACUGCCUCAGACCAGAGCCCUACUCCCAACAUAGUGUACUGACCAGAGCCCUACUCCCAACGUAGUGUACUGACCAGAGCCCUACUCCCAGCGUAGUGUACUGCCUCAGACCAGAGCCCUACUCCCAACAUAGUGUACUGUUUCAGACCAGAGCCCUACUCCCAACGUAGUGUACUGACCAGAGCCCUACUCCCAACGUAGUGUACUGACCAGAGCCCUACUCCCAACGUAGUGUACUGCCUCAGACCAGAGCCCUACUCCCAGCGUAGUGUACUGACCAGAGCCCUACUCCCAGCGUAGUGUACUGCCUCAGACCAGAGCCCUACUCCCAGCGUAGUGUACUGACCAGAGCCCUACUCCCAACGUAGUGUACUGACCAGAGCCCUACUCCCAGCGUAGUGUACUGCCUCAGACCAGAGCCCUACUCCCAACAUAGUGUGCUGACCAGAGCCCUACUCCCAACGUAGUGUACUGCCUCAGACCAGAGCCCUACUCCCAACGUAGUGUACUGACCAGAGCCCUACUCCCAGCGUAGUGUACUGCCUCAGACCAGAGCCCUACUCCCAACGUAGUGUACUGACCAGAGCCCUACUCCCAACGUAGUGUACUGACCAGAGCCCUACUCCCAACAUAGUGUACUGUUUCAGACCAGAGCCCUACUCCCAGCGUAGUGUACCAACCAGAGCCCUACUCCCAACAUAGUGUACUGCCUCAGACCAGAGCCCUACUCCCAACGUAGUGUACUGACCAGAGCCCUACUCCCAACAUAGUGUACUGACUAGAGCCCUACUCCCAGCGUAGUGUACUGUUUCAGACCAGAGCCCUACUCCCAACAUAGUGUACUGACCAGAGCCCUACUCCCAACAUAGUGUACUGCCUCAGACCAGAGCCCUACUCCCAACGUAGUGUACUGUUUCAGACCAGAGCCCUACUCCCAACGUAGUGUACUGACCAGAGCCCUACUCCCAACGUAGUGUACUGUUUCAGACCAGAGCCCUACUCCCAACAUAGUGUACUGACCAGAGCCCUACUCCCAGCGUAGUGUACUGCCUCAGACCAGAGCCCUACUCCCAGCGUAGUGUACUGACCAGAGCCCUACUCCCAACGUAGUGUACUGACCAGAGCCCUACUCCCAACGUAGUGUACUGACCAGAGCCCUACUCCUAGCGUAGUUUACUGCCUCAGACCAGAGCCCUACUCCCAACGUAGUGUACUGACCAGAGCCCUACUCCCAGCGUAGUGUACUGACCAGAGCCCUACUCCCAACGUAGUGUACUGACCAGAGCCCUACUCCCAGCGUAGUGUACUGCCUCAGACCAGAGCCCUACUCCCAACAUAGUGUGCUGACCAGAGCCCUACUCCCAACGUAGUGUACUGCCUCAGACCAGAGCCCUACUCCCAACGUAGUGUACUGACCAGAGCCCUACUCCCAGCGUAGUGUACUGCCUCAGACCAGAGCCCUACUCCCAACGUAGUGUACUGACCAGAGCCCUACUCCCAACGUAGUGUACUGACCAGAGCCCUACUCCCAACAUAGUGUACUGUUUCAGACCAGAGCCCUACUCCCAGCGUAGUGUACCAACCAGAGCCCUACUCCCAACAUGGUGUACUGCCUCAGACCAGAGCCCUACUCCCAACGUAGUGUACUGACCAGAGCCCUACUCCCAACAUAGUGUACUGACUAGAGCCCUACUCCCAGCGUAGUGUACUGUUUCAGACCAGAGCCCUACUCCCAACAUAGUGUACUGACCAGAGCCCUACUCCCAACAUAGUGUACUGCCUCAGACCAGAGCCCUACUCCCAACGUAGUGUACUGUUUCAGACCAGAGCCCUACUCCCAACGUAGUGUACUGACCAGAGCCCUACUCCCAACGUAGUGUACUGUUUCAGACCAGAGCCCUACUCCCAACAUAGUGUACUGACCAGAGCCCUACUCCCAGCGUAGUGUACUG